rnacentral:tRNA from 1 species
UCCCUAGUGGCUCAGAUGGUAAAGCAUCUGUCUGCAACACAGAGACCCGGGUUUGAUCCCUGGGUUGGGAA